rnacentral:tRNA from 1 species
AAGGGAGACCUAAUUCCGGUAGGAGACGAAAAAAAAGUAGUCCCAACCAAGAAUCAAUCCCAAAAGGUCGGAACGAGGUAUGAGGCUUUCAAACUAGGUUCUGGGUUCAUAAAAGACCUGAAUCAGGAACAAGGGCUAUUAGCUCAGGUGGUUAGAGCGCACCCCUGAAAAGGGUGAGGUCCCUGGUUCGAGUCCAGGAUGGCCCACCUGCACAGGUGGCAAAAACAAGAGAAGCUCCGAAUCAGCACCUUAUCUUAUAUACAUAUAUAAGAGAGAAUGCUGGCUCUGAGUACAGAGUCCAGAGGAACCUUGAAAACUGCAUAGAGCUAGGUGAAAAAGCCAAAAAAGAAGACCGCAA